rnacentral:lncRNA from 1 species
GUUCUAGUUAGUUCUAGUUGUAAUCUAGAAAAUAGGGAGAGAGAAGAGGAGAGCGGAGGAGGAGCCGGAUCUGUCGGAUCUUCCUCAACAUUGUACUUUUGCAGCAUCUGGUUCGUUCUUCAUCGUUCUCCAGGUUCUUCAACUCAUAACUCCUGAGUUCUUUUAUUACUUUUAUUUACAUUCAAGUUAUUUAUUGGAUUCCCGCUUGCAUCAAGUGCUCUAAUCUUUGAAACAUUAGAGUAGUAAUUAAUAGAUUAGACGUGGUGUUUAGUCUUGCAAUUACCUGGAAUUGCACCCAAUCCUGCGGAUUGUUGUGGUAGCCUUAGGGUAGUGACAGCCCUAACGGUCGACGUAUUCCACCACGUUCGGAUCGGUGUUUGUAGGACCGUAGUCGGAGCUUCCUAGCCCCCUUCUCAUCUCUUUCUGUGGUUAGUGUUCUGAUGUCCCGAUAUAGAUAAUCUUGAAAUAAUUCUUGAUUCUUAGAUCAACUAGAGAACUCUCAGGAAACUUCCUCUCUUCCCACCAAAAAUAAUUAUAUAGUUAUCCUUGGGCGAUCUUGGAUCUUAAUUAGUACACUCACGUUCCCUAUGGAAAAUCGAUACUGUGGAAUACUCCCGGGUGAAGGCUACAUCGGUAUCCGUGCGCUUGCGGAUUUUUCUGUUUGCGUUUAAAAUACCCAACAAGCUUUCUGGUGCCGUUGCCGGGGAACGGUAGCUGUGCUAGUUUCGAACCAAGUCGUCCGUGUAUCCUUUUUUCUUUUCUUUUUUUUACCACACUCACCUUACCAUUUUCACCAUACCACAUGGAUUUCACUCUAAGCAUUAAUGAGCAUGGAAUUUAUUUCAUAGCCACUUCAUUUACUCCAUGCUCAUAUGCAACAUCUUCACAAUCCAUUGGUCUCUCCAACAUCACCACAUUCUAGAUCUCCAACCCCCAUUUCCUUUCUAUUCAUAAAAACUUUAAAAGGGCGGUUGUCGAUGCAUAUGUAUAUAUUAAAUAUUGCAGAUCUCGUUGAGUUGAUCUUGAUAUAGGUCAGCGUUGGAGGGGAAACCAUUUCGCUGACAUAAAUUGAUGGUUUCCCAAGGACAAGCUUAGUGUCCUAAAAUAAGCACUGAUCAGAUCAUAACAUGAGCU